rnacentral:lncRNA from 1 species
CUCCUCCUCCUCCUCCCUGUCUGCUCCUCAUCAUCGUAUCUGGUGCUCCUCCUCUAUCUCUGUUCCAUCUCCUCCUCUUCCUCUUCUUCUCUGUCUGCUCCUUCUCCUCCUGUCUGGUCCUCCUCCUCCUCCUCCUCCUCCUCCUCCUCCUCCUCCUCCUCCUCCUCCUCCUCUGCCUGUCUGGUGCUCCUCCUCCUGUCUGGUCCUCCUCCUCCUCCUCCUCCUCUUCCUCCUGUCUGGUCCUCCUCCUCCUCCUCCUCCUCCUCCUCCUCCUCCUCCUCCUCUUCCUGUCUGGUGCUCCUCCUCCUCCUCCUCCUCCUCCUCCUCCUCCUCCUCCUCUUCCUGUCUGGUCCUCCUCCUCCUCCUCCUCCUCCUCCUCUUCCUGUCUGGUGCUCCUCCUCCUCCUCCUCCUCCUCCUCCUCCUCCUCUUCCUCCUGUCUGGUCCUCCUCCUCCUCCUCCUCCUCCUCCUCCUCCUCCUCCUCCUCCUCUUCCCCCUUCUCCUCCUCUUCCUGUCUGGUGCUCCUCCUCCUCCUCCUCCUCCUCCUCUUCCUGUCUGGUCCUCCUCCUCCUCCUCCUCCUCCUCCUCCUCCUCCUCUUCCUCUUCCUGUCUGGUGCUCCUCCUCCUCCUCCUCCUCCUCCUCCUCCUCCUCCUCCUCCUCCUCCUCCUCCUCUUCCUGUCUGGUCCUCCUCCUCCUCCUCCUCCUCCUCCUCCUCCUCCUCCUCCUGUCUGGUGCUCCUCCUACUGUCUGGUCCUCCUCCUCCUCUUCCUGUCUGGUCCUCCUCCUCCUCCUCCUCCUCCUCCUCCUCCUCCUCCUCCUCCUCCUCCUCCUCCUCCUCCUCCUCCUCUUCCUGUCUGGUCCUCCUCCUCCUCCUCCUCCUCCUCUUCCUGUCUGGUGCUCCUCCUACUGUCUGGUCCUCUCAAUGGCUUAAGCCCAGUUCAGACCAAAGAUUCACCUUGCAACGACUUGCAACUCGCAACUCCUUGCGACGCCUUGCAACGAGACGGGCUGCGACGUUCUAAAACUGGGCAGUUCACAC